GACUGCGGAGAUCAUUAAAAAAUAAUCACAGUUUUGUGAUUUUAAUAAUCAUCCUACCCUUUGUGAAUUUGUUUUGUUUGAAAAUUUAUGUUGUCUAUCCCUGGUGGUUUUGGAAAAGUUGAAAAACUUUUUCGAAUCCCAGGGACUAGGCUUUCAUAGACCUUUUUUUAAAUUAAACUUUUUGUAUUCAUUUGUCUAAAUUUAUUUUUAAUAAUUUAAAAACAACUUUUGACAAUGGAUCUCUUGGUUCUCGCAACGAUGAAGAACGCAGCAAAAUGCGAUAAGUAAUGUGAAUUGCAGAAUACGUGAAUCAUCAAAUCUUCGAACGCAUAUUGCACUUUUCUAGUUUACUAGAAAAGUAUGUCUGUUUGAGUAUCAGUAAAAUAUUCUCAUAAAAACAUUGUUUUUAUGGUUAUGAGUGUUUUACAACGAUAAACAAGUUGUUUCACUUUAAAUUGAUUUUUAAAAGCCAAUUUUUGGUUUUAUCUAAUAAAAUUGGAUAAAAUUUUCCCGUAAAAAGGAAUAACUUUUCAGUUUUAAUAGUUAAAACUUAAUUGUGCCUAAUUAAAAGGAAAUUUAACUAAAUAACUUGAUCUCAAAUCAGAUAAGAGUACCCGCUGAACUUAAGCAUAUCAAUAAGCGGAGGA
rnacentral:rRNA from 1 species